GAACGCACAUUGCGCCCCUUGGUAUUCCGGGGGGCAUGCCUGUUCGAGCGUCAUU
rnacentral:rRNA from 1 species